CCGGGGAUUUAGCUUAGCUAUGCCACCACCUGCCUUGCAAACAAAAGUUCCAUCCCGGGUACCAAAAUAAAAACAAAACGAAUGAUGGGCCUAAGUGCUUGAGGUGAGGGUGAGGGUUUAGAGGGGGAUUCAUAGCAGUGUGUCUUUUACCGUAAUACUUUAAAAAAAUUAAACACUCACUGUAGUUUUCGAUCCCAACGCUUACUUGUUAAGAGAUGGGAAAGGACAAAGGAGAGAUCGGUGAGAGGUUGCGGGAGCAUCCGGGCAUUCCCUGGGAUGCAUCCGGGCAUUCCCAGGCCUGCAUCCGGGCAUUCCCAGGCCUGUGUCCUUUUCCAGCUGCUCUUUGGCCUCUUAACCAGAGCUUGCUCCCCUCAGAUCGGCCGUUUCACACUGUUGCCCCCCACCCCCGCCCACCCCUUCAGCGCCAGCUUCUGGGAGACUAUUUCCAUGACGACCGGAGUAACACCUCCAGUCUGCCACCUCCUAACUGCCGAGAUAAAAGGGUAAAGGAAAAACAAGGUAGAGGUGCACAAACACGUCCUUGCACCGCUCACCGGCCGGGAGCAUCACGCUGUUGGCCACCAGCUCGUUCUUCAGCUUGUCUUUGGUCAGCACGGAGGGGUCCUCCGGGAACUCCAGCACCACUCGGGGCUCCUGGCUGGGGCCGUGCUGCUGCCACGUGGGGACUCUUGGCCAGAUGAGCAGAUGCAGAGCAGGGCCUCAGCCUGCGGGAGCAACAAGACAUCUUAGACAAUAUAUUACAGUUACUCUGGAGUUGGAUCUAAUAGUUGUUUUUGCUGUUUUGUUUGUUUAGUGACUUGCUUAGACGGAUGAAGUCUGUCCAGUGUGUGGCCACUUACAAGUCUAUGCAAAUUUUUGUACUUUUUAGUUAAUGUUUUUAUUUCUAAGUCAGCUACCUAGUGCUCAUUCCACGGUUUGUAUGGCUGAGGGAUUUUCCAACGAUUGGUCAGAAGUUGUCCUUCAAAACUUUGGGCCAACAAGGCUUGCUCUCAUUGUUCAGGGGCCUAUGUGCACAUAUUCAAAGUUUAGACAGUUUUUAAUUCUGCCUGAGGUUUCAGUUUCUGUCUGCACAGAGCCUCAUGAUCAGCAGGAGGCCCUGGAGCCCUCUUUGGUCUUUCUGCAGUGUGAAUACGAACCCGUGGACGUGCAUGGCUCUCCAGAUCCCCAGGAAUAAUUGAGGUUCUUGAAACCUCUGUGGCCAUCUUGUUUCCCCAGGUAUUUCUCUUAUAUUUUUGGCUGGUCUCUUACUUUUCACAGAAAACUGUAGCCACAGAAACCAAAUAAAUUACUGGCUGGUAGCAUAACAAAAUAACUGUAUGAAAUUAGAAGUCUAUUUGCACAACUUGAAAAGAAGUCAAUUCAGCUUGAAGCUUGUGCACCCUUACAUUACAUUCUUUACAUCCCACUGUCAGAGAAGUCAGCCAGUCAUUUACCAGUCAUCUUUCAGGGGUCUGUCUCCUCCAAUAAAUGAUGGGCUUCUUGAAAGAGACAAGGUAUUUUAAUAAUCUAAAUGGCCUCUCUGAGUGGCUGGAAUUCACGGCAGGGACUCAACAUCCCUGCUCCAUGUUGGUGACUGCUACAGAUCCUUUCAGAAGUGCCCCAUGGUGAACGCUGCUUACACUGUGGACUGAUCUGAACUUCAUUUCCCAAACAAUCAUUUGGCAUACAUUUUCAGAAAUAAAUUUGGGCACUAUGAGUAAUUAUCUUUAAUCUAAUUUGGUAUUAACUUUGGGGACAUCUUUCUUUCAAGUAGCUUCCUGAAGACAGUGCUAAAACUAUCCCAUGUGCUUAUUUAUUUUUCCUGGCACCUCUGUGACUUGAGCUAACUUCUGAUGGUUGCCUGAAUAAUGCACGGUGUUAGCCCCAGUGAGAACACCUGGUAGGAAAAGCUCAGCACACCAGGAAGCGACUAAUUACAAAGGACUUACUAUCAUAUUCUUCUUAGUACCAAAUUAUCAGUGUUACUCUGGCUGGGUCCUUCACCUACUGAGUACUCUGCUUAUCAUCCUUCUGCUGAGCCACUGCACACGUUAGUCAGCUUUCUGUUACUAUAACAAACAGGAGAGAUAAAUCAAUUUAGGAAGCAAAAAGGUUUCUUCUGGCUUACAAUUUUGAAAGUUCUAGUGCACGAUCCAUUGUCCCCAUCGAUUUCAGGCCCUGGUGAGACAGGACACUGUGGCAGGGACACAGGACAAAGCAAAAGCAUUUGCCUCAUAGCUGGGAAGCACAAAGCAGGGAGAGGAGGGGCCAGCCAUUCGCAUGCAUUCAGACAUCUGGGGCAGGUCCCAUCGUAGAGGUCACUACCCAUUGCCAGGCUGCGGACCAAGCUUUGCCACACGGACUGGGUGACACUCCAGAUCCUCAUGACGGCCCCCCAGGGUGACGAUCCUCCUCGCUGUAGGGACAAGGACUUCUCUCCCUCCGGUUCCUUCCUCUCAGGUGUGAGACUGGCUUUCUCCAUAAUUUUACAUAGGAAAGUUGUUUGCUACAGAUAAUGCAAGUUUAUCAGAGUUUGGGAUAAAUGAAAGGAAAUGACAACACUGCAUGUGGCCAGCGUGUCUGGGGCUCCGGCUCCUCCCCACUUCUUUCCCACCUGCAGUGACAGCUGUGUGGUCCAGGAGACCUUGCCUCCCACCACUGGGAUUCCUGUGUCUGAGCUCACUGCCCGUUGCUUCCCAGAAGAGAAAGAGUUUUCCCCUCAUGGCAGACGAAGGCCAGGAGCUUCACUGAGCCGGAUAGCUCUCUUCCCACUGCUUGGCCACUUGGCUGACAGUCUCCUGUGAAGGAUCCUUCGGCUCCACCCAGCAGAGCACGGUCUCCCUUCCUAGAGAGAGGAGAGAAGAAAGUGCUGGGUCAACUCCUUAAAUUACCAAAGAGCUGACUAAGACUGAGUGACCCUGUGUGUAUUGUCUGUUACACUAAUGCUCUUCUUUUCGAUGGCAAGAUCUAUGAUGGGGCAUUCAGGUAAGGCUAGGGCACCAGGCAGAUGGAUUUCUGGGGGUGAGUGACAAGAGUAUCUGCUGCGCCCCUAGACAUUGGCCAUAGUGAUGCAGUGCAGGAUGCUUAGCAGCUGAUUGCUUGUGAUUGGCCGUGAGCUAUUUGUUUAUGUCCGGCUUCAAAUACAGAUGAAACCUUAAUCUCUACGGCGGCCAUUUGGAGGUGAGACCUUUGAAGGUAAUUAGGCGUGGACAAGACUGUGUGAGCCUGUAGUCUCCACGAUGGGAUUACUGCACUUACAAAAGAGGAAGAGACACACAGCCACCAAGGAAAGGUCAUGUAAGGACAUGAUCAGGACACGGGCCCCCAAGAAAGCCACCAUGUUGCCACCUGGAUCUCAGCUUCCAGCCUCCAUAAUCGGGAGAAAUAACUUUCCAUUGUGAGCCAACCAGUCUGUGGUAAUUUGUUAAUGCAGCCCAAACCGACUGAGAUGUAAGCCACUUUGAGUCGCGGGUCAUGGUGUAAGGUUGCAGUUCGGCUGAUAAAGAGGUGGCCCAGCAAUCUUGACUGCUCAUGGGGCCUUGGAAGGAGUGCUAGAAAUCAGGACUGGCCUGGGACGUGUGAAGAUUGCCAAGAAUUAGGAAGAGUAGAUUGGGAGGAGGACUGGGAAAUGCAGACGCAAGGUGGGAAUGUCGGUCUGGAAUUCCGGGAAAGGCUGGCCUGGCGCUAUCCAUUCACCAGCUCCUCCUCACAACGCCUUCUCUGUUCCUUCACUCACAGCUUGGAGUCUUCUAGGGAAUAAUAAAGCUCUGUUUGCCCUGGAAGUUCUCCUUCUCCUUCCUCUCCAUGUCAGCCCCUCCUGUUGAUGCUGGAACCUGAGUGUCCGUCUCCUCCCUCACGGUGGCAUAGGGAUCUCACAGCAGGGACACAUCUCCUUUGGCACACGAGUCACCCACUUGCCUAGCUCUCCCGUUACCCUUAGGAAAGUCCUACCUUGAGACAAGAGCAAGCAGCCAGGAUGCCACAGACCCUGAGCCAAUCCCUCGAAGGAGCCAAACUCCCUGUAUGGGAAAGGCAGGCUGCAACCAGAGCUUGGAAGUCAGUGGCCGCCCCGGGCCAACUCUACAGGCUCUGCUCAGUCGAGAGCUGCAUAUUUUCUGGUAGAAUCUGCCCUCCAGGUGCAGGGCAGGUGUGUGGGCACCAACGUCGCAGGGCAGGAAAGGCCAGAGCUGGGUCCCAGGCAUGCGAGGGAGCGGGCUGGACACGACCCCCAGCAGAAGGCCCGGGCUGGUGCUCAGGUGUCUGCCCAGGCAGGAGGGACCCAGCCGGGAGUGUUCGGCGCAGACAGAGAAGCAGUGAGGUGGGGCUGUGCGUGCCUCUCUGCCCACCUCCGACAGGGCUGUGGGGAGUGGGGUGCGGGGAUCAGGGAGCACAUAGCUUAGGCGCAGGCUGGGAGGUUCUGAAAGCAGCCUGUGAGGGUGGAGCAGAGGGCGCAGGCUGAGCCAGAACUCUCAGCUGAUGUGGUGGGAGCCGCUGAGCAGUGACCACCAGACCCACAUCCUCAGGGCCGUAGCCUGGCUGUGACAUCCGGAGAUGGCACCGUGGGGAGUCUGCACCGAGUCGCGAGUCACAAGUGCCCGGUCCAGGCCGGUCAGCGCAGUCACUG
ensembl:lincRNA